rnacentral:sRNA from 1 species
AGUUUGAACCACAGAAGUCGGCGAUUUAAAUAAAUGAGAAACAGGCCAAAACCAUACCGGUGAGCUACGCUAUUUAUUUACAACAAAUUGAUACAUAAAUCUACAGGAUUAUGAUAAAGCCCUGAUUGUGUAGGUUUCGCUUCAUUCCCAGAAUUCUACGGAAUAAAAUAAUGGUGCAUUCCCUGGAUACGUUGAUUGAUGGAUAACACUACCAAAAGGCAAAGUUGGCUACCAAUAGAGAAAAAUUGUCUUUAACACUAUACUAACUAAUGGGAACAACAGGAUUGGUGUGAUGUCUUGUUUACGAAUGAAUGAUUCCUUGGAUUUUACCUUGGUUUCUAGCCUAAUUCUUACCUGGAUUAAUGAUCCAAAGGGCAGAGUCUGUGACAUCAUCUCCAAAGGAACCUCCAAACAACACCAGGUUUUUCUGAAUCAAAAGGAAAAACCAGAUCGAGUCAUUUAUGGAUAUCUUCAGUGAAUUUAUCAUGCUAUAUAUUUUUAUGCAAUAAGGACUUGCAUUAUACAAAACUAUCGGUAAUGACCUUUAUCAUUUUGAUUAGAAUACAUGACCAAGACCUCGUACAUGUAGCACACUGUAGAAGUACAUAUUUUCGAUGGGUCAAAAUUUCAUCGUUUUCAAACCAAAUAAAAUUUCGUUGGCAUUUACUUUCGUCAUAUUGUAAUUUCUUUGUAUUCAUAAAUACUUGGGUUAAAAAUG